GUUUUCUUUGCAAUUACAAGAAAUAUAUAGUACGAGUGUCCAGAAGGUUAAAGUAAUCUAUAAUCAUUGUGUAAACAUCUCACACUUGAUAGGGUGCACACGUAUGCAGGAGGAUGCAUAUGGCCAAAAACAUUUGGCCAGAUUCCACACUAUACAUUUUCUCACGAUUAUGUUCGCUUAAGAUGCUACUAAGAGGACUAUAGUCUAGCACGUUCAACUUAAGAAUGUAUACAUCAAAGUGUGUGGAGAAGUUAAGCUUCAGGAAAAGAGGCGAGGCGAUACAUGAUACUUAUAAGAAGAAAAACAAGAAAUUUUG